rnacentral:tRNA from 1 species
GUUUAAAUAGUUUAAUAAAAAGAAUAAUAAUUUGUGGUGUUAUAGGUGAAGAGUUUCUUUAAAUC